UUUGAUCUGAUCAAUCCCAUCUCUCUGACUAAAUCUACUUGCUAAAGCAUUUAUGUUUUAUUUUAUUUGUGUACAUUUCAGGAGUAAUUUUCUGCUGGCAUAAUGUGAGAGGGGGCUAAUGAAGUCCAUCCACUUUAGCUGUCUGCUGACUGUGUCAGAAUGCGAACUGUGUGAUGCAAUAUCUAGGCAAAGUAUUAGCUGACAUUUUGGUAGGACUGGUCUCCUGGUGUUUAAUGUUACUGUACUCUACAUAGUGCAUGCUUGCUAUCUUUUAAGUUUUCAGUGUUAUGGUACCAUGGUUAGGAACUUAAAUGAGUCAUGAUGCUGAAAUUAUAUUGAGGGAUUCCUCUUAAACACUUUCUGCAAUAUGGCAAUAUGCUUGCAUACUACUGUUGCUUCUAUAUAUUCCUUCUGUACUUCCUACUAUUAAGGCAAUGUAUGUUCCUUAUGGAUGUACUAACUUUAUAACCAAACUCGUGGUGGGUUUUAUAGUUAUGAUCGAGAGAAGGAUGAUGAGGUUGAUGUCAGUUGAUGAUGAUGAUGUGGCUGUCAACCAUCAUUGUAGCUUAUAGUUAGUUCGUGAAAUUUGAUGAGGCUGAUUGGUAGAUGAUGUGUUGAUUGUGCUGAUGGUUGGCUGUUGCAAUGCAGCUUUUGAUGCUGUUUGUAGUUAAUGUAUUUGCGAUGCAUGAACAGCAGAUGCUGGCUGGAGAUUUUCUGUGCGCAAAUGUAUAUGAUGUAUUGGG
rnacentral:lncRNA from 1 species